AAAGUAAUGAUUCUCCUUUAUAAUAAAGGGACACUUCAAGCAAAAUGAUCACACAGUCCCGUAGAGAGCACUCAUUCCAAAUCCACUUGGCGACUAAGCCUCAACGGUAAAGCCGCAAACCUCCUAGCACUCACUUUCCGAUCUGAUGGAGCUAAACUUUAAUUGGGUGGCAAUUCAACACAGUGGAUGCGACAAGAAUGCUCUUUUGACCAAAGGUGGUGGAGAGGUAUCUGAGUAUAUAAGACACGUAGGGGUUAUUUUUGCUUUUUAUGUGCUUACUUUAGAGAGAGAGCAAUCUGCUGGUGCAGGUAAUGCGAG